rnacentral:rRNA from 1 species
GAUGAACGCUGGCGACGUGCCUAAUACAUGCAAGUCGAGCGAACAGACGAGGAGCUUGCUCCUCUGACGUUAGCGGCGGACGGGUGAGUAACACGUGGAUAACCUACCUAUAAGACUGGGAUAACUUCGGGAAACCGGAGCUAAUACCGGAUAAUAUAUUGAACCGCAUGGUUCAAUAGUGAAAGACGGUUUUGCUGUCACUUAUAGAUGGAUCCGCGCCGCAUUAGCUAGUUGGUAAGGUAACGGCUUACCAAGGCAACGAUGCGUAGCCGACCUGAGAGGGUGAUCGGCCACACUGGAACUGAGACACGGUCCAGACUCCUACGGGAGGCAGCAGUAGGGAAUCUUCCGCAAUGGGCGAAAGCCUGACGGAGCAACGCCGCGUGAGUGAUGAAGGUCUUCGGAUCGUAAAACUCUGUUAUUAGGGAAGAACAAAUGUGUAAGUAACUAUGCACGUCUUGACGGUACCUAAUCAGAAAGCCACGACUAACUACGUG